rnacentral:rRNA from 1 species
CGGAGGAUCCAAGCGUUAUCCGGAAUCAUUGGGUUUAAAAGGUCCGUAGGCGGUUUUAUAAGUCAGUGGUGAAAUCCGGUAGCUCAACUAUCGAACGGCCAUUGAUACUGUAGAACUUGAAUUAUUGUGAAGUAACUAGAAUAUGUAGUGUAGCGGUGAAAUGCUUAGAUAUUACAUGGAAUACCAAUUGCGAAGGCAGGUUACUAACAAUAUAUUGACGCUGAUGGACGAAAGCGUGGGGAGCGAACAGGAUUAGAUACCCUGGUAGUCCACGCCGUAAACGAUGGAUACUAGCUGUUUGGUAGCAAUACUGAGUGGCUAAGCGAAAGUGAUAAGUAUCCCACCUGGGGAGUACGAACGCAAGUUUG